GGCUCGGUAGCUUAGUUGGUAAAGCGCUCGUCUAGCAUACAAGAGUCCUGGGUUCAAAUCCCAGCCAAUCA
rnacentral:tRNA from 1 species